UUGAGCCGUGUGCGAGGAAACUCGCAUGCACGGUUCUUAGGAGAGCGAGUAGCAGAAAUGCUACUCGCUUAUCCGAC
rnacentral:ncRNA from 1 species